UCUCCGUUGGUGAACCAGCGGAGGGAUCAUUACAGGACUCGCAAGACUCCUUCACCCUGUGAACCUCACUACGAGCACGUUGCUUCGGCGGGUGUCCCGGCGGGGGUUUUCCCUCGCCGGGGCGCACAGCCCGCCGGCAGCCUACUAUACUCUGUCUCUUUGCGUUGGCAUCUCGAGAAAAAACAAACAAGUUAAAACUUUCAACAACGGAUCUCUUGGUUCUG
rnacentral:misc_RNA from 1 species